UCCGUAGGUGAACCUGCGCGAAGGAUCAUUCGCACGCAGAUCCAAGAACCAAUGUGAACCUGAUGUUGACCUCUGAGUCAGCAUCAGUAUCUUGUUGUGAUAACAUAAUUAGAACAAUCAACUUCUUAGCAAACCAUCCAUUUGUGUUUGUCAAUCAAUUAUCACAGUAAAGGUUUUCCUUUACAUUAUUUUUACAACUUUCAACGAUGGAUGUCUUGGCUCGAACAACGAUGAAGGGCGCAGCGAAGUGCGAUAAGCAUUGUGAAUUGCAGAAUUCCGUGAAUCAACAGAAUCUUGAACGCAUUCUGCGCCCCCGGGUAUUCCUGGGGGCAUGUUUUCUUCAGUGUCUGCAUUGAAUCAUUUUCAUUUCUUGAAAGUAAUGUUCGUCAGUAUGUGUUUUCUGCACUACUAACGGAUUGAAUCGCUCUGUGUUGAUUAUGUGAAUUUUUCAAUGUGCACAUCAAAAUCUCACAGAAUCAACCACACGACAAAUGUGUCGCUCAGUUAAGACAUGAAGUGAAACCAGCAAACCCGCCGAAUUUAAGCAUAUCAAUA
rnacentral:rRNA from 1 species